rnacentral:rRNA from 1 species
GGAAGGUCCGGGCGUUAUCCGGAUUUAUUGGGUUUAAAGGGAGCGUAGGCCGGAGAUUAAGCGUGUUGUGAAAUGUAGACGCUCAACGUCUGCACUGCAGCGCGAACUGGUUUCCUUGAGUACGCACAAAGUGGGCGGAAUUCGUGGUGUAGCGGUGAAAUGCUUAGAUAUCACGAAGAACUCCGAUUGCGAAGGCAGCUCACUGGAGCGCAACUGACGCUGAAGCUCGAAAGUGCGGGUAUCGAACAGGAUUAGAUACCCUGGUAGUCCGCACGGUAAACGAUGGAUGCCCGCUGUGGGCCAACUGGUUCAGCGGCCAAGCGAAAGCAUUAAGCAUCCCACCUGGGGAGU